CAGGAUGGCCCAGCCUUGUUCAGAUCUUGGGAGCAGAUGGAGGUGUCCAUUCUCGGUGGCUUCUAAGAUUUGGCUCAGCAAAGCCUUACAGCCAUCCUGGUGUAAUGCUGGAGAUGUUCUGCUCUGAGUGGCAGCUUGGACUGGAGACCUCCACACAUCUUUGCCCAGCUCUGAGCAGGCAGAUCAGCGUCCCAGCAGCUCCCACAGAACCCCAUCCAACACGCAGGACACGAAUCCCUGCCAGGUCCCGUACUGCUGGGCUGCAUGGAAAUCCCAUCCCUCCACCUGCACUGCUGAGGGCAGGGGAGAAGUUUGAUGGGAACAGAUCCCUCUCCAAAUCCACCAGGAAAGUCCAUAGGGUCAGAGACACUUCAUCCUCCUGACCGUACGCUCUCUACGAGUUCAGACUGAUCCCAAGUGACACUGUACAGAAGUAGGGAACACGUAUGUGUCCCUUCCAACAAAAGACAUUCUAUGGCUCUAAGAAACAAUGAGACUCGAGGUCAGGAAGACCUGCUUUCCCAGAGACCCCCCCAUCCACACUGCAGGCACGAGAUAAGUGGCACUGAGCAUGAGCUCAUUCUCCAUUGCCUUAACAACCCACAGCAAUGGCAUAUUAUAAUUUUGGAUACCAGUGUGUGAGCAGGACAUGGAUCUGUGCUGUGGACACGCACUUCGUUCCAAGUGCAGUUGAUCUUUCCCUGUGGUCACAGUUUUAAUGUGCUGAGGAUGUUUUUCUUUGGCUGCACGGUCACCCAGUAUAUGCUGAACUGCCUAUAUGAACACAGUUAUUUUGCAUGGAUGUUAAAUAAAGGUAUACCAAAAAGAAAUCCAAAGAGACAAUAUCAACUUGUUUUCCUGUGCUCAAGUCUCAUCUGAAAACCCAUUUGAUAUCCUUUAAUUUUUCAUCUUGAGAUUAUGGAUGUGUUUGUCUAAACAUCUGUGGUAGCUGGUUAACAGGAUCAGGCCAGCAUUAGACUAGUGCAGAUAAAGAUAAUCUUUUCCAGCCCAAUAACAGCAAUAACAUUAAUGCAUAAAUUCUCCUCUUCAACUCCAUUUAUCACCCAGACACACUACCCCCAAAACCAGGCAGUGGCACUGCCAGUACUGCUGCUGCAUAGAAUGGCUUGAGUUGGAAGGGACCCCACGGAUCAUCAUGUUCCAACCCCCUGCCACAAGCAGGGCCAUCAACCUUCAGAUCUGGUACCAGACCAAGUUACCCGGGGCUCCAUCCAACCUGGUCUUGAAUACCUCCAAGAAUGGGGCAUCCACAGCCUCUCUGAGCAAGAAAUGAGGCAUUUCAUAAUUUUUAAAGUAUUUACUGUAAUGGGUGGAUGCAUUUCACAGGGCUGCUGAGAGCAGAAGGAAGUGGACAAUGGACGAUCAAUGUCACAGUAAUUUAAUGUGUUAAUGAAUGCCUGCUUGAUUCGUUACCUUUACUGGAGGAGAGCUGGUGGGCACGCUUCUCUUCCAGAUAGCAAUUUUCCUAGAACAGACAGGAGUUUAAUGGGUUUUCAGGAAAAACUUCUUUACAGAAAGGGUUGUUAAGCACUGGAAUGGGCUGCCCAGGGAGGUGGUUGAGUCACCAUCCCUGGAUGUGUUUAACAACUGUUUGGAUGUGGUGCUCAGGGACGUGAUUUAGUGGAGGGCUGUUAGAGUUAGGGUAGGAUGGUUGGGCUGUGGUUGGACUUGAUCUUGAAGGUCUUUUCCAACCUGAGCAAUGCUAUGAUUCUAUGAUUCUAUAGUGUUAGCAAAAAGCUUCCAACACUGGGGAAGGAAGAAAGAAAAGAGGCAAAGACACCACACCGCACUCCACAAAGGACGGCUCCUGAGCUCGUGGGGCUGCUGGCCGUGCUCUGCUCACUUUGCUGCUGGCUUUGCCUUUGGAAGGUGGAAGCAAGCUGAAGUGCUUUGAUUUUCCUCACCUAGGCUACAAAUCACACGAUGCACCAGGUCACCCUUACAGCAUAUCAGAUUGGGGGGUAUUUUCCAAAUCCCCUGACGAGAACAUCAUUAAAAUGCCAGCAAAUGAAGUCUGUAGAGAUUGACUGGGGAUAAAGCACGUGCAGGAAUCCACUCACCACCCCCCCACGGUGAUAACACAGCCACAAUCAGAGCUGCCAGUGAGGCAACUGAAGGCUCAUGGUGACUCUUUAAUGACAAGCAUCCAUUUAAUUUGAUUGCUGGGAAUAAUGGAGUGUUGCGUUCCCUCCACUCAUUUCAGUGGGCUUGAGCACAAUUAAGAGGAAGGGAUGUGUGGUUUUCCCUGAGCACUCCCUCUGUGGCUGCUGAUUAAUGCCCAGCUGCAGUGCUGGAGCCAAGUGUGGGGCGGAUGGACACGUGGACCCAUCGGGGUCCCGAUACUUCUCUUGGAGCACUGCUUUUGCCAUCUGUGUCAUUGCUUCAUGAUCAACAUUCUUGUCCACGUUGUCCACCUGCAAAGACCAUGGAGGGACAGUUUUGUCAGCAGCCCCCACAGGUGUUGUACACCAGGACCCCCUCCAUCUCAGCUUGCACACAAGUGCUGCAGAAAAGGCUGAGCCCGUGGCUGGGACGUGUCAGUAAGUCAUGAGCUCUUUGAUGGUGGUGUUUCUUGUUGGGUAAGGAGAGUGUCAAAGUAAAACAUUUGCUCCAGAAAUCACUGUUCUUUCAGAAUCCCGUGGAAACACACAGCAGUCACAUGGAGGAGAAGCGCUCUCUCUUGGAGGGGUAAAAAUCCCCUGUACAGCACACGGUUUUCCUUUGGAUCUACAUUUCCACAGCACUGCCAAUAGUGAGGACGGACGUCGUCCCAUUCCUUUCAACGUUUCCUACUGACAGUUCACUCACAGUUCAAGGCAAUGUUAUUUAUCAGCUCAUUCACAGAACUGUGCUGGUGAGGUCAGCUCUGCUCCGCCAGGGAUGCUCCCACGGAGCGCCAUCCCGGUGGGAUAAGAACCCAUGUAAGAAAUUCCCUGCAAAGUGGGACUCCAUCGUCCUCCAUGAAAAGGACGGUUUGGACUGGAUGGUGGACAGUUGGACUGGAUGAACUCGGUGGUCUUCUCCAACUUUGGUGACUCUGUGAUUCUAUGAACAGCAGAAUGAUGAGCGAGCACCUCGGGGCACAGAAAGCAAGAGCGUCUAACGAGGAGGAUCUGUUUUAUAGCCUCUCAAAGACAGGGUCUAGAAAUCAGUCUGCUGACAUUUUAAAAUGUUAAAUCUCGAAAUACGAACGUAAAUCUGUGAAAUUAAAUCCCGGAUGCCUGAAAAGCUUGGAAAGCAAAGAAAUUCAGAUGACACGAUGGCCUCAGUCACAGCGCCAUAGGAUGCUGUGGGUCGGAAGGGACUCACGGGGGGACGCACAGAAACGCCCCCCAGAAAUAGUAAUAAAGAAUGACAUCACAGAGCGAUCAAAACCAGAUGGCAGCUUCUCUUUUAUUAUUAUUUUGCACCAUUUUUUUUUGCAGUGUGUGACUGAAAGGCAAUACUCAUAUCUACUUCCCAGUAAUUCCUACAGCUCCCCCACAGGCAGUGUUGGUGCCGUCAAUUGCAAAUAAGGUGAUAUUUUCAGAGGUGAGGACAUUUUUCAGCAGCUGAGAUCCCAACUUUUCCAGCACACCCCGUGCCCUUUCAUUGCUGUGUUGCAAAUAAACAGCACGUCAUGGGUGAGGAUUUCCUUCAAGGGUACAACAGCAGGUUCACGUGGUUUGCUGCAUCUUCAGCUGCAAUUCAGCUGCAAUUCCUUUCUUCAGGAAUCGCCGCAACCCAAUGAGAUGAACAAAAAUGCAACACAGUGAAAUGGUGGUUUGCUCAGGAAGAAAAGCACUGCACUGCAGAGCUCAGGAUGCACCUCUGUUGGUCAGGGAUGCAGACAUUCAUGUCCCGAAGUGGAGAAAGAGACUCAGGUCCUUCUCGCUGUCUGACCUGAGGCUGUGCGUCAGGCUGUGGUUGGAUGCAGUGUCUUCGGGUUGACAAUCCGCGCAGUGGCGUCGCGGAGAUUGAUGCUGCCCCGGAUAACAAUGCCGAUGUCAUCCCUAUCCCUGCAGCGAGAGAACGGAGAGUGAGGAAACCCCGGG
ensembl:lncRNA